rnacentral:rRNA from 1 species
UAAUACGGGGGUGGCAAGCGUUGUCCGGAAUUACUAGGCGUAAAGGGCAGGUAGGCGGAUAUUCAAGUCAGGUGUUAAAGGCAUCAGCUCAACUGGUGUACGGCAUUUGAAACUGGAUAUCUAGAGUCAGGUAGAGGUAGAUGGAAUUCCUAGUGUAGCGGUGGAAUGCGCAGAGAUUAGGAAGAACACCAAAGGCGAAGGCAAUCUACUGGGCCAUGACUGACGCUAAACUGCGAAGGUGUGGGUAUCAAACAGGAUUAGAUACCCUGGUAGUCCACACAGUAAACGAUAUACACUAGAUGUCGGGGGUAAUAUCCUUCGGUGUCGUAGUUAACGCGAUAAGUGUAUCGCCUGGGGAGUACGAUCGCAAGGUUG